AAUUCAGUCAAAAGUAAUCAAUCCUGCGUUCGGGACGCAGAGACCGGAGGUUCAAAUCCUCUCAUCCCGACCA
rnacentral:tRNA from 1 species